GAUCCUGGCUCAGAAUCAACGCUGGCGGCGUGCCUCAGACAUGCAAGUCGAACGAUUAAACUUUCCUUCGGGAAAGAUAUAAAGUGGCGCACGGGUGAGUAACACGUAAGUAAUCUACCUUCGAGUGGGGAAUAACGUUCGGAAACGAACGCUAAUACCGCAUAAUGCAGCGGCAUCGCAAGAUGACAGUUGUUAAAGGAAUUUAUUUCGCUUGAAGAGGAGCUUGCGGCAGAUUAGCUUGUUGGUAAGGUAACGGCUUACCAAGGCUACGAUCUGUAUCCGGUCUAAGAGGACGGUCGGACACACUGACACUGAAUAACGGGUCAGACUCCUACGGGAGGCAGCAGUCGGGAAUUUUGGGCAAUGGGCGAAAGCCUGACCCAGCAACGCCGCGUGAAGGAUGAAGUAUUUCGGUAUGUAAACUUCGAAAGAAUGGGAAGAAUAAAUGACGGUACCAUUUAUAAGCUCCGGCUAACUACGUGCCAGCAGCCGCGGUAAUACGUAGGGAGCAAGCGUUGUUCGGAUUUACUGGGCGUAAAGGGCGCGUAGGCGGCGCGGUAAGUCACUUGUGAAAUCUCUGAGCUUAACUCAGAACGGCCAAGUGAUACUGCAGUGCUAGAGUGCAGAAGGGGCAAUCGGAAUUCUUGGUGUAGCGGUGAAAUGCGUAGAUAUCAAGAGGAACACCUGAGG
rnacentral:rRNA from 1 species